GGGAGGAAAAGAAACUAACAAGGAUUUUCUUAGUAGCGGCGAGCGAAAAGAAAAUAGUUCAGCACUAAGUCACUUUGCCUUAUAUGGUAAAUGUGAGAUGCAGUGUAUGGAAUGUUCAAUUCUAACAUGAGAAAUUGAUGAUUUAAGUCCUUCUUAAAUGAGGCCAUUUACCCAUAGAGGGUGCUAGGCCCGUAUAACAUUAAUGAUUGUUAGUGAACAUUUCCAAAGAGUCGUGUUGCUUGAUAGUGCAGCACUAAGAGGGUGGUAAACUCCAUCUAAAACUAAAUAUAACCAUGAGACCGAUAGUAAACAAGUACCGUGAGGGAAAGUUGAAAAGAACUCUGAAUAGAGAGUUAAAUAGUACGUGAAACUGCUUAGAGGUUAAGCCCGAUGAACCUGAAUAUCCAUUAUGGAAAAUUCAUCAUUAUGAUUAUAAUAUAUAUAUAUAAAAAAUUUUAUAAUAAUGGUGUGCAUUUUUUCUAUAUAAGGACAUUGUAAUCUAUUAAUAAAUGAAAAAAAAUUUAUCAUAAGAUUAAUAGUUUUAAAGUUUUAUUUAAAUUAUAUUUUGCUUAUGCAUAUAUAUAAAUUAUAUGAAUGCUAUUAAUUUGAUAAAUUAUUGAUAGAUUUAAUUAUAAUAUAAUGCUUAAAUAUAUGUGAAUACAUAUAUUUUUUAAUUAUAUAUAUAAAUUAUUUUUUAUAUAUAUUAAUUAUAUGCAUUUAUAUGAUUAACAAUGCGAAAGAUUCAGGAUACCUUCGGGACCCGUCUUGAAACACGGACCAAGGAGUCUAACAUAUUUGCAAGUUAUUGGGAUUUUAUGAAAAACCUAAUAGCAUAAUUAACAUAACGAAAUUAAAAGAAUGGGAUUAGUUUUUAGUUCUAUAUAUAUAUAGUCUAUUAAUUCAAUCCCGGGGCGUUCUAUAUAGUUAUGUAUAAUAAUAUUUAUAUUAUUUAUACCUCUAACUAGAACGUACCUUGAGCAUAUAUGCUGUGACCCGAAAGAUGGUGAACUAUACUUGAUCAGGUUGAAGUCAGGGGAAACCCUGAUGGAAGACCGAAACAG
rnacentral:rRNA from 1 species